rnacentral:rRNA from 1 species
GACGAACGCUGGCGGCGUGCUUAACACAUGCAAGUCGAACGGAAAGGCCCUGCUUGCAGGGUGCUCGAGUGGCGAACGGGUGAGUAACACGUGGGUGAUCUGCCCCUUACUUUGGGAUAAGCCUGGGAAACUGGGUCUAAUACUGGAUAGGACCAUGCUGUAGGUGGUGUGGUGGAAAGAUUAGUUUCGGUAAGGGAUGAGCUCUCGGCCUAUCAGCUUGUUGGUGGGGUAAUGGCCUACCAAGGAGUCGACGGGUAGCCGGCCUGAGAGGGUGGACGGCCACCUUGGGACGGAGAUGAGGCGCAGACUACUACGGGGGGCAGCAGUGGGGAAUAUUGUACAAUGGGCGACAGCCUGAUGCAGCGACGCCGUGUGUGGGAUGACUGCAUUCGGGUUGUAAACUCCUUUCAGCCAUGACGAAGCCUUCGGGUGACGGUAGUGGUAGAAGAAGCACCGGCUAACUACGUG